rnacentral:tRNA from 1 species
ACCUUUCUAGUAUAAAUAUUACAAAUGACUUCCAAUCAUUUAAACUUGGUUUAAACCCAAGGAAAGGAA